AGAGUUUGAUCCUGGCUCAGGACGAACGCUGGCGGCACGCUUAACACAUGCAAGUCGAACGAGAGAAGAGGAGCUUGCUUUUCUGAUCUAGUGGCGGACGGGUGAGUAACACGUGAGCAAUCUGCCUUUCAGAGGGGGAUACCGAUUGGAAACGAUCGUUAAUACCGCAUAACAUAAUUGAACCGCAUGAUUUGAUUAUCAAAGAUUUAUCGCUGAAAGAUGAGCUCGCGUCUGAUUAGCUAGUUGGUAAGGUAACGGCUUACCAAGGCGACGAUCAGUAGCCGGACUGAGAGGUUGAUCGGCCACAUUGGGACUGAGACACGGCCCAGACUCCUACGGGAGGCAGCAGUGGGGAAUAUUGCACAAUGGAGGAAACUCUGAUGCAGCGAUGCCGCGUGAGGGAAGAAGGUUUUAGGAUUGUAAACCUCUGUCUUCAGGGACGAAAAAAGACGGUACCUGAGGAGGAAGCUCCGGCUAACUACGUGCCAGCAGCCGCGGUAAUACGUAGGGAGCGAGCGUUGUCCGGAAUUACUGGGUGUAAAGGGAGCGUAGGCGGGAUCGCAAGUCAGAUGUGAAAACUAUGGGCUUAACCCAUAAACUGCAUUUGAAACUGUGGUUCUUGAGUGAAGUAGAGGUAAGCGGAAUUCCUAGUGUAGCGGUGAAAUGCGUAGAUAUUAGGAGGAACAUCAGUGGCGAAGGCGGCUUACUGGGCUUUAACUGACGCUGAGGCUCGAAAGCGUGGGGAGCAAACAGGAUUAGAUACCCUGGUAGUCCACGCCGUAAACGAUGAUUACUAGGUGUGGGGGGACUGACCCCUUCCGUGCCGCAGCAAACGCAAUAAGUAAUCCACCUGGGGAGUACGACCGCAAGGUUGAAACUCAAAGGAAUUGACGGGGGCCCGCACAAGCAGUGGAGUAUGUGGAUUAAUUCGAAGCAACGCGAAGAACCUUACCAGGUCUUGACAUCGUAUGCAUAGCUCAGAGAUGAGUGAAAUCUCUUCGGAGACAUAUAGACAGGUGGUGCAUGGUUGUCGUCAGCUCGUGUCGUGAGAUGUUGGGUUAAGUCCCGCAACGAGCGCAACCCUUACUGUUAGUUGCUACGCAAGAGCACUCUAGCAGGACUGCCGUUGACAAAACGGAGGAAGGUGGGGAUGACGUCAAAUCAUCAUGCCCCUUAUGACCUGGGCCUCACACGUACUACAAUGGCUGUCAACAGAGGGAAGCAAAGCCGCGGGGUGGAGCGAACCCCUAAAAGCAGUCUUAGUUCGGAUUGUAGGCUGCAACCCGCCUACAUGAAGUCGGAAUUGCUAGUAAUCGCAGAUCAGCAUGCUGCGGUGAAUACGUUCCCGGGCCUUGUACACACCGCCCGUCACGCCAUGGGAGUCGGUAACACCCGAAGCCUGUAGUCUAACCGCAAGGAGGACGCAGUCGAAGGUGGGAUUGAUGACUGGGGUGAAGUCGUAACAAGGUA
rnacentral:rRNA from 1 species